rnacentral:rRNA from 1 species
GCGAGUGAAGCGGCAACAGCUCAAAUUUGAAAGCUGGCUCCGGCCCGCAUUGUAAUUUGCAUAGGAUGCUUUUGGCGAGGUGCCUUCCGAGUUCCCUGGAACGGGACGCCAUAGAGGGUGAGAGCCCCGUAUGGAUGGACACCAAACCUGUGUAAAGCUCCUUCAACGAGUCGAGUAGUUUGGGAAUGCUGCUCUAAAUGGGAGGUAAAUCUCUUCUAAAGCUAAAUACCGGCCAGAGACCGAUAGCGCACAAGUAGAGUGAUCGAAAGAUGAAAAGCACCUUGAAAAGGGGGUUAAACAGUACGUGAAAUUGUUGAAAGGGAAGCGCUUGUGACCAGACUUGCGCCGGGCAGCUCAUCAGGGGUUCUCCCCUGUGCACUCUGCCCGGCUCAGGCCAGCAUCGGUUCUCGUGGGAGGAUAAGAACAGUGGGAACGUGGCCCCCCUCCGGGGGGGUGUUAUAGCCCAUUGUACGAUACUCUCGUGGGGACCGAGGUUCGCGCUCCGCAAGGAUGCUGGC